AAACAUGAUCAAAUCUGAAAUGACUGACCUGUUCCUGCAUUCGAUGCUGAAUUAUACUGACGGCCCAAGCCAUAAUAUAACAGGGUAAAAGAAACGCACAAACACGUAGUAAAAAAAGCUGCAUCGACAGAACAAGGCAGAUUCAUCAUCAGCAUCAUCGGUUUCUUCAGGAUCUGUCAAAGCCAAUGCAUGCCUCAUGAUCAGAAGAGCCAUUACCUGCCAAAUACAAAAGAAAUGAGUGCAACAAUGCAAAAAACAAGGGUCGAGUCCAAAAAAAAUGAAAAAGAAAGUUCCCGGGAUUACAAUUAAAGCAACCGAGCGAAGAAAUGCAGAUCCACCACCAUUUGUAGAUUGAUAAUCAUCGUACUCAGCCUCCAAAAAGCGUCGUUCUGCCUCGGCCAUAGCAAAAAUGCGAGCGUCGUGCAAGUCAAAUGAGGUAUUGGAGACGGUCCACCCACUGUUUUUUUCAUCAAAAACGGAUUGAAAGAGAAUAAAUUUGAAAGGAAACGCAUUAAAAGAACAGAGUUAGUUUAAUAGUAAUGCCUGAUAUCGAUAGCAAUCUCUUCGGGUGGUGGUUGGGGAACCGUAUAAUUAGGUUCGUAAGGCUGUGAGAUUCCAAGUAACACUAAAAGUGUGAGAAUCCAAGGUUUUCUAAAUGCAAUCCAAUCAUAUUAUUAUUGAGAUAUGUCGCACUCCAUAAAAUAAUACCUUAUGACAAAUUUCACAAGUUGUAUUUCC